GGACGAGGAAGCACUGGUGAAAUAUCAGACGCCAAAGCGACUAGCUCUCAGGAGGAUAUUAACCCACUGAUCUCUGCAGAGAAUAUGGCAUCUGUUCCAGAGCAUCCUGAAAGAACUGAACAGUGACGAUAAAAAGAUGUUCAAGUGGUAUUUGAAACAACAUGAGUCAGUUUCAUUCUCUCUCUGAGAAUGCAGACAACACUGAAAUAGUGGAUGUGAUGGUGAAAAAAUUUUGCCUUGAAGCUUUGGAGCACACAGUGGACAUCCUGAAGAAGAUGGAUCAAAACUCUCUGGCUGAACAGUUAAUUCAAUAUUUAAAGAGUGAUGUAAAUAUAAAGUUUUAAUAUAAUAUUUUAUAAAAAUGUUUAGAUGAUAUAGUUGUAUACAUUGUUGUAUGACAGCGACAGAGAUUUUAUUGAACCCAAGCUUUUGUUAUGUGGACUCUUGUUUCCUGUUUUGUCCUGAUAUUCCCUAAUUAUUCUUAAGUUAUACUAUAAAUUGUUGUAUUAAGUUGUAAUAAGUUGUAUUCCAAGUACCCUGGGUGUAUGUGAAUUUAUUUGAUUCCUUUUAAAUUAUCUUUAGACCAUGUUGAGCUGGGUCCAACAAAUGAAAUCUUGAAACUUGAAAACUUGACUGACAAAUUUCUGUCAAAUGAACGAAUAGAACUUAGAGUUGAUAUGGUUGAUUCGAUCUUACUUGUAAAACAAUCAUACGCUUUGAAUGCUUUUAUGUGUGAAAUCGAUCAGUUUACAAACGAGGUUGAAGCUUUGAGCACAGAAGCUUCAGCACUGGUUGUAUCUGAAAUUGAUGUUUAACUGAUUUCCUGUUGAGCUUCUCAGAAAUGAGACCAAGAUGUAAUUUUAAUUUUAGCUAGAAGUGUUAGAUGGAAAAGAAAGCGAAGGUCUUAAGCUUUAGCAUUUAAAAUGUGUUGCAGUCUGCAAAAGGUGUUGCAAGGCAGGCUCCAAACAAACUUUGUAUUUUAUGCUUUGCAGCUUGAGCUCGCUGCAACAGGAAGCUGUGGGUUUAUAAGGGCUUUAUUUCUGUGAUGAAAUAAAUGUGAUUUCUGCAAGCUAUAUAUAUUGAAAAAUUUGUAACAGACGUUUGCCACACCUCUGGUGAAGAUUUCCUCGCUGUUAUGUUUUAUUCUGAACUUUUUUUAUUAAAAAGAAACCAAUAUAAUUGGCAAUUUUUAUUACAGUUUUUUCUGAAUGCUUAAGCGCUAAUCGUGAUUCUUGUAGCACAAUUUCUAAAACUAUUAAUACGUAUAGCAAAACCACUCACUGAGUUUGCAAAACUAAAAGCACAAACACUGCUUUGCACUCAGUUUGCAAUUUUGUAACACACACUUUGCAAAACUGUAGGCACAAUUCACUGCACAACACUUUUUUUGCAGAACUUUAAACACAACUCACUUCUUACACUCAAUUACCAAAUUUCCAACACACUCCUAGCAAAAUUAUACACAUGUAUGGCUAUCAUUAACACUAUUUUGCCAACUGUCUGGCACACUUUCACAUGUGAAAACUGUUUUAGAUAAUUAGUUCACUUUGCAAUCAGCCUAAGCACUAUAAAUAAGCCACAGGUAAGCUGUCUGUGUGGAGUACAAUGGAAGGAGCAGUAAGAGUGAGAAGAGUGAGAAUCAGAGGAGGCCGAGGAGGCCGAGGGAGAGGACGUGGAGGUGAAGAAGUUGGAGGAAGAGGACGUGGAGGUGAAGAAGUUGGAGGAAGAGGACGUGGAGGUGAAGAAGCGAGAGGGUUAGAGGAAGUUAGAGGAAGAGGACAAGGAGGAGCAAGAGGAGGAUGAGGAGGGGAAAGAGGAAGGGUAAGAAGAGUAAGAAAUAGAAUAACUGAUGACAUCAGAGCUACAAUAGUGGACCAUGUCAUCAACCAUGGGAUGACCCUGAGGGAAGCUGGCCAACGGGUUCAGCCUAAUUUGAGCCGCUACACUGUGGCAAGCAUCAUUAGGACAUUUCGAAAUGAGAAUCGAAUUGCUAGACGUCCAGAUGUUGGGGGCAGAGGAAGAAUGUUCACUCCAGAGCAAGAGACCCAUAUAGUGAACAUGAUGACUGCCAAUAAUGCAAUAAGACUGCGCGAAAUACAGCAGCGCAUAAUUGAUAAUGACGCCAUCUUUCAAAAUAUACACAGUGUAAGCAUUUCUGCACUAAGUCGUGUACUUGCACGCCACAGAAUAAGAAUGAAGCAAAUUUACAGAGUUCCUUUCGAGAGAAACACAGAACGUGUAAAGCA